CCUUCUGCCACUCAGCCGACCAACAUGCUGCCAGAGACUGCGGGGACAGUGACGUCUGCCUUUCCUUCCUUUCCCUCCCUUCCCCGCCCCAAUCUUUCCAAGGAAGCAGGUGUUUCUGUUGUAGUUUUUUGUUUUGAGCCGCAGUCUCGCUCUGUCGCCCAGGCUGGAGUGCAGUCGCAUCAUCUCUGCUUCCUGCAACCUCCGCCUCCAGGGUUGAAGCGAUUCUCCUGCCUCAGGCUUCUGCGUAGCUGGGAUUACAGGAGCACACCACCAAGCCCUGCUAAUUUUUGUAUUUUUAGUAGAGACGGGGUUUCACCAUGUUGGCCAGGCUGAUCUCGAACUCCUGACCUCAGGUGAUCCGCCCGCCUCGGCCUCCCAAAGUGCUGGGAUUACAGGCUGAGCCAUCAUGCCCGCCCAGAAGCCGGUUCUUAGCCUGUGUUGCCGAUGACCUCUUUGGCAGACAGCUGGAGGCUGUCCACCCUUCUUCAAAUAAUGGUUUGUAAUGCGCAGACUAAAACAUGUAGGAUUACACAAGAAACUAGUUCUCUUCCCAUCGUUAUUCUUCUGAUGUAGCAUUCUACUUGAAAUUGGAAGCCGUUCAGUAUCAGAGAGAAACCAUAUCUAUGAAACUAGAGAUGCUGCUCAGAUGACUGCAAACCAGCCAUCCUUACUUGUUUUACCAUUAGUAGUGCUAUAAAGACGGUGGUCCAAUUUCAUGAAUCUUGUAGGAUUUUUUCAAAUACAGCAAUGUACAAAUAUGCUGCCCCAGCAGAGCACACUGGACACUCAGGCAUGGUGCUGGAGUUUGUCAUCUCUUCCAUGGCCUUCUGUAGACCGUAGCACUUACCUCAUGUUAGCACUUUAUAUUCUGCAAAGAGAGAAACAAGUGGUCCAAAUUUGGAGAAAAAAAAUUGGGGGAAAUUUUAUUUGAGGUGCUUAACUGAUUACUUUUAAUUUGUAGAAUACAAUCCCAAACUCUGACAAUACUCCACAGACUCCAAAUCUAUCAGGCAAGUUUUUCCUGUCCUUUGCUUUCAUAUAA
rnacentral:lncRNA from 1 species